rnacentral:rRNA from 1 species
UACGUAGGGCGCAAGCGUUGUCCGGAAUUAUUGGGCGUAAAGAGCUCGUAGGCGGUCUGUCGCGUCUGUUGUGAAAACUCGAGGCUCAACCUCGGGCUUGCAGUGGAUACGGGCAGACUAGAGUGCGGUAGGGGAGACUGGAAUUCCUGGUGUAGCGGUGGAAUGCGCAGAUAUCGGAAGGAACGCCGGUGGCGAAGGCGGCACGCUGGACCUCUUCUGACGCUGAGGCGCGAAAGCCAGGGGAGCAAACGGG